ensembl:lncRNA
UGCAAGAAUCAAGCUUGGAGACUUUAGAUGAAUAUGGAGCUGCUACAAUGAUCAGAUAUUUGAGUUGGGCAUUUACCAGAAGCAGAAUGAGGUCACUGGAGAGGAAAGUUGCUGUUUUCCUGUGACUCUACUUCACUAAGUUUGGAGAGUAUUGAAUAUGACCUCUUUGGAUAGAUUAGAUAACUAUUAAGCUCCUUCCAUUAGACUAUUCAGGUAUGACCUAAAUCAAAUCACUUAUGAUUAUACAGUGGAAGUGAGAAAUAGAUUCAAGGGACUAGAUCUGAUAGAUA